GUAUAGCCUUAGCCCCCAUAUUUACGGAGGCCGCGAACCAUAAUUAAUACUUGACCAAAUCUUAAACUACCAAAACGGAAUCAAGUCAAUUCCAUACACUGUAUUUCCCCAGAAAUCAAAAUUCCAAGACCCCCAAGAAACUCCAUGGACCCAAAUUCAUCUCCUUCCAAUUCCAAUUCCAACACGACCAUUCCGGUAGUGGCAACCCUCCCCGCUUUCGGGUCGGACUCUUUGACCCGGAAGCCCAUCAGCUUGUGGCCCGGAAUGUUCCACUCGCCGGUGACGCAGGCACUGUGGGAAGCGAGGUCUCACAAGUUCGAGAGGCUCUUGGACCCACCAGCAGACGCUCCUCCGCAGAGCGAGUUGCUGAACAAGACUCCGUCUCAGAGCAGGACUACAAUUCUGUACAAUUUCUCUACUGAUUUUAUACUGAGGGAGCAGUACAGGGAUCCUUGGAAUGAGGUCCGAAUUGGGAAACUGCUUGAAGACCUUGAUGCUUUAGCUGGAACCAUUUCUGUCAAGGUUGAUUUUCCAGUCUUGGAGAGGCUAUAAAUUGGUGGCAGCCUUAACUUGAAAGAGAUAUGGAACAACCUUUGUCUGGGGAAAAAGGACAAAGUGAAAUCAAGCUUCUAAGUGCUUGAAGAAGAACUCAAAUUAAAGAGCAACAAGAGCGAGAUUCGGAGUUUGCUAUUCCACAUGGGAGUUGACAUGGGUGCCCCUUCCGUUUCAGCAGGAUAGAAUGUCAAUGGGUCUCAACCAACAAUGCCGGUGAUGGAUGGGAUCCGACUUGACUAUUGACAGUUCUGUGAUGUGUGAGAUGUAUAUAGUUCUUCCUCUUAUUGCCAUGAGAAAUCAUUUUUAGCAUGACCAGGUGGAUGCUUUAAGUUUUCUGACCUUCUGAUCUUGAGCAUUGCCAAGAGUCAUUUGUCUUGGGAGCAGUUGGCACUUUUUGGCAAAUGUUAAGGAACUAAACUCCCACUAGCAAAGAAAAGAGGAGACUCUGCAGAAGGCUGGUGAGAUAUUUGGGACAAAGAAUAAAGACCUAUACACUAUAUUGGAAGGAUUGACCAGUCAUAACGUCUAUAGAACCCUAUACCCCAUAUGAAGGGUUGAUAACAGUCCGUUGAACUCAUGGCAAUUAAAGUCUUUGUAAAUUCAAUCCAUUUUUGAUGUAAUUAAACUGCAGCGAGUCAAUUCUUUGAAUUCCUGUAACUGUACAAGUAGCAACUUUGAGAGAAUGUUAGCAAAUUACUUGUUCUAACAUCUUCACAAGACUUGAGAAGUUGGGAUAAGUCAUUUUAGGGUAGAAAUUGCUUCCUGUAGGAGUGUAGGGCUAAGAAUUUUCUUCUUUUCAGAUCCAAAACUAGAAAUGAUAACAUUUCAAGUUCA